rnacentral:piRNA from 1 species
UGCAGGGGCAAUCACAGAGCUGUAACACU